GAGCGAGGGUCCCCCGGGGCCCAAACCUCCCACCCUUUGCGAACCAUACCUCUUGUUGCUUUGGCGGGCCCGCGGGGUCACACCCGCCGCCGGCCCCGGCUGGCGAGCGCCCGUCAGAGUCCACCCCAAACUCUGUGAACCGUGACGUCUGAGUACAAACUUAAAUAGCAAAAAACUUUCAACAACGGAUCUCUUGGUUCU
rnacentral:misc_RNA from 1 species